UGCUUAUUUUUAAAGGAAAUAUACUUUAUAACAAGUAAUAAAAUUUGUAAUAGAUAAUUGAAAGUGUAAAAGUGUAUUCUUAACCAGCAAAUAUAAAUAGUUCUAACUAGUUGUGUAUAUAUUGCAGUUUAUCUGGAAACUCCAGUUCAUGCAAGCUGUGAUGACAAAAUUGGCAAUUUAAGACGAGAUUUAGCUGCCUCAUAAAAUUUGCAGGUUUUGUUUGAAGUUAUGAAUUUCGGGUUACUACUUAUAGUAUGUAAGAUGAGCAAGAUCGACAAGGAAGGGCGGCGUUCAAUGAACAUGACAUUUACUACUGCCAUCAUUGUGGGAAUAUGUUGCAACAGGACAGUUGUCGAGCUGAAGAUAAAGGACAUCAGGCAGGAAAUCUAACAUGGAAAGAAUAUGCACUAGCACUGAUAAAGUGUAGGAAGCUCCAUGUGCCCAUUGAAAGGCAUCAAAGAAGCCGUAUACUCCAAUGCCAU